UACGGAGGGUGCAAGCGUUGUUCGGAAUUAUUGGGCGUAAAGGGCGCGUAGGCGGUGCGGUAAGUCACCUGUGAAAUCUCCUGGCUCAACUGGGAGCUUGCAGGCGAAACUGCCGUGCUGGAGUGUGGGAGAGGUGCGUGGAAUUCCUGGUGUAGCGGUGAAAUGCGUAGAUAUCAGGAGGAACACCUGUGGCGAAAGCGGCGCACUGGACCACAACUGACGCUGAGGCGCGAAAGCUAGGGGAGCAAACAGG
rnacentral:rRNA from 1 species